AGGUCUAACCUGCCCAAUGAGGAAUUAAAUGGCCGCAGUAUUUUGACUGUGCAAAGGUAGCAUAAUUAUUAGUUUUUUAAUUGAAAGCUUGUAUGAAGGGUUGGACGAGAUAAAAUCUGUCUUUAUUUAAAUUACAAUAGAAUUUAACUUUUAAGUCAAAAGGCUUAAAUGUAUAUAAAAGACGAGAAGACCCUAUAGAUCUUUAUUUAAUUAAUAUUUUGAUAAUUUAGGAUUAUUUUAGUUUAAAGUUUUAAUUAAAUUUUAUUGGGGUAAUAUAAAGAUUAAAUAAAUUCUUUUUAUUUAUUACAUUGAUUUAUGAAUAUAUGAUCCAAUAUUAUUGAUUAUAAGAUUAAGUUACCUUAGGGAUAACAGCGUAAUUUUUUUGGAGAGCUCAUAUCGAUAAAAAAGUUUGCGACCUCGAUGUUGGAUUAAAAAUUAGCUUGGGUGCAGAAGCUCAAGAUUUUGGUCUGUUCGACCAUUAAAUUUUUACAUGAUCUGAGUUCAGACCGGCGUAAGCCAGGUCGGUUUCUAUCUUUAUUUAUCUAAAAUAUUUUAGUACGAAAGGACCAAAUAUUUAAUAUAAUUAUAUUUAUUUUUUGAAUAAUAUU
rnacentral:rRNA from 1 species